rnacentral:rRNA from 1 species
CCCUUAGAUGUUCUGGGCCGCACGCGUGCUACACUGAGUGGAUCAGCGGGUCAGGUUGCGCGAAAGCGUUUCCUAAUCUUUAAAUCCGCUCGUGAUGGGGAUUGACGGUUGCAAUUUUCUGUCAUGAACGAGGAAUACCAUGUAAGCGCGGGUCAUCAUCCCGCGCUGAAUACGUCCCUGCCCUUUGUACACACCGCCCGUCGCUACUACCGAUUGAACGGUUUAGUGAGGGCCUCGGAUUGGUCUCGGCCCGCUCUUUACCGGGCGGCGCCGUUGGUCGAGAAGACGCUCGAACUUGAUCGUUUAGAGGAAGUAAAAGUCGUAACA